rnacentral:sRNA from 1 species
AGUGGCGGCGCUGAAGAGACCGGUUGCCGCCAUGAUAGAACAGCAGAAGCGUAAGGGCCCAGAGUUGCCGCUGGUUCCAGUCAAGCGGCAGCGGCAUGAGUUGCUGUUGGGAGCGGGGUCUGGCCCAGGAGCCGGGCAGCAGCAGGCGACGCCGGGAGCUUUGCUGCAAGCGGGACCUCCAAGGUGUUCCUCCCUUCAAGCCCCAAUCAUGCUGCUCUCUGGACAUGAAGGGGAAGUAUACUGCUGCAAGUUCCACCCCAACGGAUCCACCUUAGCAUCUGCAGGAUUUGACCGACUGAUAUGUGAGGCAUAGUUUUUGAAUCUGGAAUAAUUUUUCCUGCCAGAUACUGAUUUUUUUUUUAAAUCUUGGGUGCCACAGAAGGUAUCACUCUAUGAUGGCAACAUAACAGGCUACAUGGCUAAUAUGCUAAAAUUGGGGCAUGAACAUGCUGAAUGAUCUUGGGUGUAGAACCUGGAGUCCAUGGGGUAAAUACAGAAGCCAUUAUUUUACUAGUUGGAAAGUGAGUUGUUCUGGUUUGAGAAUGUCUUCCUCAUAGAGGCAAAUCUCCAGCUAAUUUACCAAGGCACUUAGCAAUCUAGACAUAACAGGUUAAUGGCAGUAAUGAGGAGAGAAAUAACUUUUAUUUUCCCAAAGGUAUAAGGUCCUCUUAAUUCA